rnacentral:antisense_RNA from 1 species
GGCGUCUGCAGGAUCAGGUUGGAACGCUCGACGAUGGUUUCGCCGAUGUAGUACGGCAGGCCGCAGUUGGCGAAGGAAAUGUAGCCGUCUCGUUCGAAGAUAAUGAUUUCUGCCUGCUCGUCGAGCCUGCGCAAGCGGGCUGCCGCGGAUGCCCCGCCUGCGACGCCGC